ensembl:lncRNA
AUGAUUUCAAACAUGUUAAAAGUAAUUAAUUUUACUCGACAAAAUAUUAUCUGGGUGUUUUUCAAAAACCGCGCGCAUUUUUCAGUCAGUCGCGUCCACACUCUGCUCAUCCCCCGCGGGACCGCGCUCACUCGCUCACUCACACUGAUCACAGCAGGACUACAGGCGACGCGGUCACGGAAAAUAACAGCCGGACACAGACAAACGAGUCCCGCAAAGUGUAUUUUUAAACUAAGGUUAGAGAGACGGCUGACAGUAUCUUCGUCAUCUCUAACCGUCACUCCCGCCACAGAUCUGAAGCGAGUGCAAAGGCAGAGAGGGGCGGUGUGAUGGUAUUGGCAGCAAGAAGGCUGCAAUACUAAUAUGGGCCUGAAAUGAAGAACAAUAUCAGUCAUUCAAGCUAUGAUCCUGGCAGAUCUACUAUCUGAAAAAAGACUCAGCAGAUUUUUUUCAAGACACACAAGGUAGGACACAGUUCAGAACUUUAUAUUUACUUGGCAACAUUUUUCUGAGAUCAGCAGAAAUUACUGAAUAGUUGAUCUAGGGAUGUUCAUUUUAACCGGUUAACCAUUAACCGACCGUUAAGAAUUUUGACAGAUUAAAACAAUCAGUUAAACGGUUUAAAAAGUCAUUUAUUUAUUUUCAGUAAUUUAUCAAAAUAUUUAAAAAGGUUUGCUGCAUGGUUAAAAUAUGCUACGCGUAUACAUGUUUUUAGUUUUUUAGAGAAAAAAAAACACAAGUCCCAUUUUAUUAUUUAAUUCAGAAAUAGGUCUGAUGCCGACACGAAAUGUUUAAAAUCAUUAUAAUAAACUGUAAACAUAGCUAGGCUAUUUUAGUUCC